rnacentral:tRNA from 1 species
GCAAUGGUGGUUCAGUGGUAGAAUUCUCGCCUUCCAUGCAGGAGACCCAGGUUCGAUUCCCUAGCCAAUAUA